UGUCAAUGCUGCAAUUUUGUUGUGAAAUUCACAAUCCAUGUCCAAAAGUGCUUGUUUUACUAUACAGCAAAAAAGGAGAAAUUGUACCGGGCCGACACCGUUAGUUGUAGACAUGAAGAAGAAACAUCCAAAUGAUCAAGAAGAAACAACUGUGUGAAUAACACCAAAAUAAAGUGGUUACUACAUGUGUCUGGAAACUGGUCCUGUGCGGAUACAGGUUUCAAACCAGUACAGAUGUUAUGUACCAGUAAGCUGUACUUGCUCUUCUAAUUGAACAGUAAAGAAGGCAGAGUGUUACAGACACAAGGAUCAUGCUGCAGUGAGAAACCAAGAAAUUCCUGUUGUUGUGUGCCAUGGAGUGUCAUAGAGAAAGGAUAUGGAAAAUACAGGGAUAAGGAUGUGUGAAGCUGCAAGAAAGCAAGCUGGAAGCUAUAUACCCAGAAUUCCAGGAGAAUAGGGGCUGUACGUCUGUGAAGGGUAUUGUUAUGAGAUGUAGGGAGUUGCUCAACAGAUUGAAUUGUUAAUGUAAGAGAAUAAGUAUUAAAAAAUGCUGAUCUAAAUUCAAAAUAAUUUCACAGCAGUGUUCCUUAGGUGAUCUACCAAAUUCAGUCCACUAAAAU
rnacentral:lncRNA from 1 species